GAUGAACGCUGGCGGCGUGCCUAAUACAUGCAAGUCGAGCGAACAGACGAGGAGCUUGCUCCUCUGACGUUAGCGGCGGACGGGUGAGUAACACGUGGAUAACCUACCUAUAAGACUGGGAUAACUUCGGGAAACCGGAGCUAAUACCGGAUAAUAUAUUGAACCGCAUGGUUCAAUAGUGAAAGACGGUUUUGCUGUCACUUAUAGAUGGAUCCGCGCCGCAUUAGCUAGUUGGUAAGGUAACGGCUUACCAAGGCAACGAUCCGUAGCCGACCUGAGAGGGUGAUCGGCCACACUGGAACUGAGACACGGUCCAGACUCCUACGGGAGGCAGCAGUAGGGAAUCUUCCGCAAUGGGCGAAAGCCUGACGGAGCAACGCCGCGUGAGUGAUGAAGGUCUUCGGAUCGUAAAACUCUGUUAUUAGGGAAGAACAAAUGUGUAAGUAACUAUGCACGUCUUGACGGUACCUAAUCAGAAAGCCACGGCUAACUACGUA
rnacentral:rRNA from 1 species